UACGUAGGCAGCAAGCGUUGUUCGGAAUUACUGGGCGUAAAGAGUGUGUAGGCGGUUUUCUAAGUUCGGUGUGAAAUCCCCGGGCUCAACCUGGGAAUGGCGAUGGAUACUGGCUAGCUAGAGUGUGUCAGAGGAUGGUGGAAUUCCCGGUGUAGCGGUGAAAUGCGUAGAGAUCGGGAGGAACAUCAGUGGCGAAGGCGGCCAUCUGGGACAACACUGACGCUGAAGCACGAAAGCGUGGGGAGCAAACAGG
rnacentral:rRNA from 1 species